rnacentral:rRNA from 1 species
AUGUCCCCUUACUUGUUUGUUAUUGCCAUUAAUGAACUUUUGAUUGCUCUUAAUGAGGCGCUUCAGGCUAACCAUUUGCAGGGUAUUUCUCUUGGUCCAAGUUGCCCUUCGGUUCAUUCCCUUCUAUUUGCAGAUGACCUUUUGGUUUGUGGUCAGGCCACCCAUCAUGAAGCUCAGACUAUGGCGAAUCUUAUUCAGCAAUUUUGUGAUCUCUCUGGCCAAACUCCCAACUGGAGCAAAUCUGCAACCUUGUUUAGCUUGCAUGUUUCUCAGGCUACUAUUCAAGACAUUAAGCAUAUUUUCCCUGUUUCUAAUCUUGAUGCUAAUUUCACUCAUCUUGGUCAUCCUCUCAUUCUCCCUGCUAAUAAUAGAUUGGCUGCUUACAAUUUUGUUCUUGAUAAAUUUUUAAAUAAGCUGCCUUCUUACAAAGCAAACAUGCUCUCUCAUGCUGCUAGACUUGAACUAAUUCGCUCAGUUUUCUCGGCUAUUCCUGUUUAUUACAUGGCAAAUAUCUUGUUUUCUAAGAAAUUCAUUGCUAAACUCACGGCUGUUAUAAGAAACUUCUGGUGGACAGGUGUUCGAGAGACUGACUCUAAAAAGAGUCUUUGCCUUAGGGCCUGGAAAGAUAUUUGUAAUUCUAAAACAGAAGGUGGCUUGGGUAUUAGGAAGCUUAAAGCAAUUAAUGAAAGCCUCAUUCUCUCAGCUGCUUGGAGGUUAGCUAAAGCCCCUUCUUCUCAUCUAUACCUUGUGCUUAAGGCUAAAUACUUCCCUGAUACUUCAAUUUGGAGAGCCACUACAACCCUUCCUAAAUCUGCUUUUUGGGCCUCUAUUUUGAAAAUGUUGCCUAAGCUGACAUGUCAUGCUUUUUAUCAACUCACGAGUGGUAAUCUUUCUUUAUGGAGCAUGCCUUGGUGUAAUUUGUGGCAUACUAUUUAUGAUUCUCUUAUUCCCCAACAAGCUGGUUUUAUUUACCCCUCUCUUGUUAGGGAGCUUUGGCUGCCUGGUCAAAAAAGUUGGAAUCAUGAUCUCAUAUUUUCUCUUUUCCAGCAGCCUCUUGCGUCUCAAAUUGUUAACACUGAAAUUAUUGAUGAUGAUGGUCCGGAUUUGCUGUGUUGGGAUCUCACCCCAAAUGGUAUUUGCUCUUCUAAAUCUGCUUACAAGCUUUGCCUCCAGGAGCUUCAUAAUAAUCCUAGAAAUGCCCCUAUGGAUAUUCCUUUGGAUUUGAAAGACUUUCUCAAGCUCAUUUGGAAGCAAAAAAAUUUGCUCCCUCGUGUUCAAACUUUUGCUUGGAGACUUCUUCGUAGGGCUUUGCCUACGGGCAUGAGAGCUGGCCGCUUCUCUGUUCACAUCUCUCCAUCUUGUUGUAGAUGCGGACAGCAGGAGGAUGAAUUUCACCUCUUUUUCUCUGCGACUUCGCGAGAGCAGCUUGGUUUUCUUCGCCUUGGUUUAUUCGAGCGGAUGUUCUUACUCAAGGGCACUCUUCUAUGCAUUCCAUUCUCAUCUUUCUUAUUAAUAUGA